AUUGAACGCUGGCGGCGUGCCUAACACAUGCAAGUCGAGCGGUAACAGGUGUAGCAAUACAUGCUGACGAGCGGCGAACGGGUGAGUAAUGCUUUGGAAUCUUCCCAGUAGUGGGGAAUAACCAGUCGAAAGAUUGGCUAAUACCGCAUACGUCUGUAAAGGGAAAGCGGGGGACUCGCCUCUUCUUCGGAAGAGAGGCCUCGCGCUAUUGGAUGAGCCAAAGCGGAUUAGCUAGUUGGUGGGGUAAUGGCCUACCAAGGCGACAAUCCGUAGCUGGUCUGAGAGGACGACCAGCCACACCGGAACUGAGACACGGUCCGGACUCCUACGGGAGGCAGCAGUGGGGAAUAUUGGACAAUGGGGAAACCCUGAUCCAGCGACGCCGCGUGUGUGAAGAAGGCCUGCGGG
rnacentral:rRNA from 1 species